UGAGGAAUAUUGGACAAUGGGUGAGAGCCUGAUCCAGCCAUCCCGCGUGAAGGACUAAGGACCUAUGGUUUGUAAACUUCUUUUAUACAGGGAUAAACCUACUCUCGUGAGGGUAGCUGAAGGUACUGUAUGAAUAAGCACCGGCUAACUCCGUGCCAGCAGCCGCGGUAAUACGGAGGGUGCAAGCGUUAUCCGGAUUUAUUGGGUUUAAAGGGUCCGUAGGCGGGUCGAUAAGUCAGUGGUGAAAGCCUGCAGCUUAACUGUAGAACUGCCGUUGAUACUGUCGGUCUUGAGUGUAUUUGAGGUAGCUGGAAUGAGUAGUGUAGCGGUGAAAUGCAUAGAUAUUACUCAGAACACCAAUUGCGAAGGCAGGUUACCAAGUUACAACUGACGCUGAUGGACGAAAGCGUGGGGAGCGAACAG
rnacentral:rRNA from 1 species